rnacentral:rRNA from 1 species
UACGUAGGAUGCAAGCGUUGUCCGGAAUUAUUGGGCGUAAAGAGCGCGCAGGCGGUCUGCCAAGUCAGAUGUGAAAGAGGCCGGCUUAACCGGCAAGGGUCAUUUGAAACUGACAGACUAGAGUGCAGCAGAGGAUGGCGGAAUUCCCGGUGUAGUGGUGAAAUGCGUAGAUAUCGGGAGGAACACCAGUGGCGAAGGCGGCUAUCUGGGCUGCAACUGACGCUGAGGCGCGAAGGCUAGGGUAGCAAACAGG